CUCCCUUUUUGACUGAAUCUCCGCUCCUUUCUCUACCUUCCUCUCUCUCAGUCCGUCCAUCAGUCAUCCCCUCCUCUAUCACGCCAUCGCCAUUCAGCAUCGGAGAGAAGAUGCCGCAUCAGCAAACACACGGAAACACAGACAGAGAAGGAGAGGUGAUAAGGAAGGAAGGAGAGGAGGAGGAGAGGUGAUAAGGAAGGAAGCAGAGAAGGAGGAGAGGUGAUAAGGAAAGGAGGGGAAAUAUGAAGGGCGAACCGAAGGAGGAGGAAAACUGUCCUGUGAGCACAGACAUGUCCGAAAAAAGAGAGAGAG